CGGGGCGUGGCGCAGCCCGGUAGCGUGCUUCAAUGGGGUUGAAGAGGUCGUUGGUUCAAAUCCAAUCGCCCCGA
rnacentral:tRNA from 1 species